UCUACGUAGCAGCAGAAUAUUUUUUUGUGGUCCUCUAAAAUCACUUAUUCACUUACUGAUUUGUACACUGUGUCAGACAGAUGCUGCGUUCAGGCGAUCCGACGAGCUGAACGGCUGCUUUUCGAAGCAGCUUUCCCCUCAGCGAGUAAACUCUCCUCUCUCCUGGACUCGGCUGUGUUUGUGCCGCCUCAGAGCGCUGAUCCGAUGGCAUCUUUUCCUGUUCCUUGCCAUUAUCCUCUUGCAUUUGGAAGAGACGCUCCGUUCACCUGUGGCCUCGCCGUGUCUGUCGGCUACGAGCGUGCGCGUGCGAACUUGUGCACGUCUUUGUCUCCGGCACAGGAAAGCGGGAAAGGCUCUGACAAUGACCACUGCAGUGUUUUGUGACUGAAAUAUUGAGAAUUCUUCAUGUGGACGCCUGAAACAGGGAAAAAAAAGCCCUGAUGUUACAGUCUCGGAGACUUUCACCCCCCAGCCUCCUGCUGCCCCGCCCCUCCACUCCAUUGUGUCCAUGUAAAGUAUGUAGUAAAGCCUUGUAGUCCUAAUAACAUCCAAUUUUAAGCCCUUCACAUCCAUUACCAACAAUACUAUUAUCCCCCUCCCUGCUCUGUCUGCUCAUGCACACACUGCAUUAGCCUUGGAGAGAACAAUACGUGGUGGUGACACUGGUCUAAAUGGAGGGUUUCAUGGUGAGUCCGUGUGUUUGUAUUGGGUGUCUAUGUGCCCAUUUAGUUCAGUUUGAAAAAGACGAUAAAAUCCAACAUCCAACACAGAUUUUAGCACUGAUCUGAUCAGACUGACUAUCACUUGUUACAACGCACUUGGGGUUAUUAGGAAGUACUUCAAUAUGUUCAGUUUAAAAUAUGACUACAUUAAAGUGCCAAAUCUCAGUUUUAACUCAAAGUUGAGGGUUUAAAAGUAACUGGACGGACACUAAUGAAAUCAUCUUUUAUCAUAAUUUGUUGUUUGGAGUCGGUGGCAGUCUUGCACUGUUUUUUUGUGCUCAUCUUCAAGAUUUUAGCUCCUUUGUCUCUGCAGUUAUUUGCCAAUAGAGUGUACAUCACCUCUUUCAUUAAGUCGUUGCUGAUUUUGGUAAACCGACUCCCUUUAAUGUCUUUCGAAAAACUUUUUUGAGGCUCAUUAACCUUCUGAACCCUGAGAUAUCUUGAAGAUGACAGGGCCAAAAGAUGUAAAAACAGAAAGAACCAUCAAAUUUUCAACAUUCUGACAAUCUUUGAACUACUCAUCUGUGAUAAGACCCUCUGUCAGGAAAAGUUAUCAAACCUAAGCUUAACCACUUGAUGCCUGAAUUUAUUUACAAUUAUAUAUCGAAAAAAAGCAUUAUUUGUGUUUUUGCUUUCAAGCUGAUGAUAAAUUAAGUGAAGAUUUUUGAGUUGUCUGUAGCAAAUAUGAUAGAUAUAGAAUAAAAACAAUAGAUAUGCAAUGCUGUAGGUUCCACUCUGACCGGUCCAACAAGAACCCAGUGCUUGCACAAGGGUUUUCUAAUCAUCAAUUAGCUCUUCAACAUGAACAGCUAACAGAAUUUAGCAUUAGAACACAGGAGUGAUGGUUGUCGGAAAUUUUCCUCUGUACCCUGAUGAAGAUAUUUCAUGAAAAAAUCAGCUAGAAUGGUCAUUGAUCACAUUAACAAUGUUGAGAGUGCAUUUGAUUCAAUGCUUUUCUUUCAAAAACAAAGACAUUUCUCAGUGAUCUCAAACUUUUGAAUGGUAGUGUAGAUUGUGUAAGAUGAUAAAUUAUGCCUUCUUCAGCACAAUUGACAAGCCAUUGGUGAGUUUUAGUUGAACGAGGACACAAGUUUGGAAAAACCUUGAAAAUGUCAGAUAUAUAAUAUCUAUUGUACAGUCGAGGUCAAAAGUUUACAUACACUUGUAAAGAACAUAAUGUCAUGGCUCUCUUGAGUUGCCAGUUAUUUCUACAAUUCUGAUUUUUGUAUGCAUAUUUUUCACCUGGCAGAUUUGGUCACUUUUUCUGUUAAACCACAAUAAAGUCAUAAAAGAACCAAA